ACAAAGACCACCUAGGGAAAUUGUUAAAAUGCAGAAUUUGUUUCAGCAAUAUGAUCUCAGGCAGAGGCCAAAGUUCUGCAUUUUUAACAAUUUCCCAGGUAAUACUGAU
rnacentral:pre_miRNA from 1 species